rnacentral:rRNA from 1 species
AUUGAACGCUGGCGGCAGGCCUAACACAUGCAAGUCGAGCGGAUGAAGAGAGCUUGCUCUCUGAUUUAGCGGCGGACGGGUGAGUAAUGCCUAGGAAUCUGCCUGGUAGUGGGGGAUAACGUCCGGAAACGGGCGCUAAUACCGCAUACGUCCUACGGGAGAAAGCAGGGGACCUUCGGGCCUUGCGCUAUCAGAUGGGCCUAGGUCGGAUUAGCUAGUUGGUGAGGUAAUGGCUAACCAAGGCUACGAUCCGUAACUGGGCUGAGAGGAUGAUCAGUCACACUGGAACUGAGACACGGUCCAGACUCCUACGGGAGGCAGCAGUGGGGAAUAUUGGACAAUGGGCGAAAGCCUGAUCCAGCCAUGCCGCGUGUGUGAAGAAGGUCUUCGGAUUGUAAAGCACUUUAAGUUGGGAGGAAGGGCAGUAAGUUAAUACCUUGCUGUUUUGACGUUACCGACAGAAUAAGCACCGGCUAACUUCGUGCCAGCCGCCGCCGUAACAC